rnacentral:lncRNA from 1 species
CUCACAGUGAGAGUGGACGUGUGUCCAGCACACAUGACAAAAAUCUGACCCAGACACAUGCCUGGGACAAAACCCCGCUUCGCUCCGGGAGCCCGGGUUUUCCUCCCUCUGCCUCCGUCCCUGCCCAUGGGCCUCAGAAAUUGCAGCCUGCGAGUCCUUCUCUGGUGUAGCUGGUGGUGGUGUCCAGGGUUCACCUAAUUCACCUGCGGGAUCUUACCAAACUUAGACAGAAUAUCUUGCUGCUCCUCCCGGCUGGAAAACAGGAUUUU